AGUGAACGCUGGCGGCAGGGAGAACACAUGCAAGUCGAACGGCAGCACAGUAAGAGUUUGCUCUUACGGGUGGCGAGUGGCGGACGGGUGAGGAAUACAUCGGAAUCUACUUUUUCGUGGGGGAUCACGUAGGGAAACUUACGCUAAUACCGCAUAUGACCUACGGGUGAAAGCAGGGGAUCUUCGGACCUUGCGCGAUUGAAUGAGCCGAUGUCGGAUUAGCUAGUUGGCGGGGUAAAGGCCCACCAAGGCGAGGAUCCGUAGCUGGUCUGAGAGGAUGAUCAGCCACACUGGAACUGAGACACGGUCCAGACUCCUACGGGAGGCAGCAGUGGGGAAUAUUGGACAAUGGGCGCAAGCCUGAUCCAGCCAUACCGCGUGGGUGAAGAAGGCCUUCGGGUUGUAAAGCCCUUUUGUUGGGAAAGAAAAGCAUCAGGUUAAUACCCCGCUGUUCUGACGGUACCCAAAGAAUAAGCACCGGCUAACUUCGUG
rnacentral:rRNA from 1 species